UAGCCGUGGUAGGCAAUUCACCUAGGAGAGCAAACUCUAAACAAACCCGGGCAGGUGGAGGUCGUUAGCCGUGGUAGGCAAUUCACCUAGGAGAGCAAACUCCGAACAACAAACCCGGGUAGGUGGAGGUCGUUAGCCGUGGCAGGCAAUUCACCUAGGAGAGCAAACUCUAAACAAACCCGGGCAGGUGGAGCUCGUUAGCCGUGGUAGGCAAUUCACCUAGGAGAGCAAACUCCGAACAACAAACCCGGGCAGGUGGAGGUCGUUAGCCGUGGCAGGCAAUUCACCUAGGAGAGCAAACUCUAAACAAACCCGGGCAGGUGGAGCUCGUUAGCCGUGGUAGGCAAUUCACCUAGGAGAGCAAACUCCGAACAACAAACCCGGGCAGGUGGAGCUCGUUAGCCGUGGUAGGUAAUUCACCUAGGAGAGCAAACUCCGAACAACAAACCCGGGCAGGUGGAGGUCGUUAGCCGUGGUAGGCAAUUCACCUAGGAGAGCAAACUCCGAACAAGAAACCCGGGCAGGUGGAGGUCGUUAGCCGUGGUAGGUAAUUCACCUAGGAGAGCAAACUCCGAACAAGAAACCCGGGCAGGUGGAGCUCGUUAGCCGUGGUAGGUAGUUCACCUAGGAGAGCAAACUCCGAACAACAAACCCGGGCAGGUGGAGCUCGUUAGCCGUGGUAGGCAGUUCACCUAGGAGAGCAAACUCCGAACAACAAACCCGGGCAGGUGGAGCUCGUUAGCCGUGGUAGGUAGUUCACCUAGGAGAGCAAACUCCGAACAAGAAACCCGGGCAGGUGGAGCUCGUUAGCCGUGGUAGGUAGUUCACCUAGGAGAGCAAACUCCGAACAAGAAACCCGGGCAGGUGGAGCUCGUUAGCCGUGGGAGGCAAUUCACCUAGGAGAGCAAACUCCGAACAACAAACCCGGGCUUGUGGUGCCCGUUAGAUGUCGUUGACAAUCCACGUUUUGGGAACACCAAAGAAAAUGAAAAAGAAUACCAGAAAAAGGAAAAUAUUGAAACGAAACAUCGAGAAAAGAAAAACCAAACACAAAUCAUCCACCAUUAGGCCCUAACUAACAUCACCAAAAUUAUGGGUGGGUCUUUUCUGGGGAGAAAAAGGCUCAUCCAGACCAAAGAACAUCAAAAAGGGAUGAUAUAGAAAAGAUCACCGAAAAAUAUAGAAAAGAAAAAAGAACAGAAAAAAACAUCGAAAAAGAAAAGUAACAGCAAUAAAAGAACAACAUCAAGAAAAGAAAAAUACAAAGAAACAUCAUCCACCUUUCGACCGUGACAAACAUCAUCAAAAUUAUGGGUGGGUCUCUUCUGGGAGGAAAGAGGCUCACUCAGACCAUCAAAGAACAUCAACAAAAGGAUGAUAGAGAAAAGAACAUCAAGAAAGGAUGAAAAAGAGAAAUAGAAAAGAAAAAAAUAUCGAAAAAGAAAAAAACAUCAAGAAAAAGAACAAGAAAACCAAGACAUCAAGAAAAGAAAAAUAUAACAAACAUCAUCCACCUUUCGGCCCUCAGUAACAU